rnacentral:rRNA from 1 species
GUCUACAGCCAUACCACCCUGAACGUGCCUGUUCUUGUGAAGCUAAGCAGGGUUGGGCCUGGUUUGUGCUUGAAUGGGAGACUAACUGGAAAUGCUGGGUGCGGUAGGCU